AUUUUAGUGGCGCAGUCGGUUAGCGCAUGGUACUUAUAAUGCCGAGGUCGCGAGUUCGAGCCUCGCCUGGAGCA
rnacentral:tRNA from 1 species